rnacentral:misc_RNA from 1 species
GGAAGGAUCAUUCCAAAAAUAAUCCACUUCGCCGUGAACUUUUAUAAUCGUUUUUAAAAAUUUAAAAUUAUCCAACUGUAAGCAACGGAUACCUCGGCUAUCACAACGAUGAAGAACGCAGCAAAGCGCGAUAGGAAUUGCGAAUUGCAGAAUUCAGUGAAUCAUCGUACCUUUGAACGCAAUUGCGCUCUUGGGAAUCCCCUUGAGCAUGCCUCUUUGAGUGUCGGUAACACCAUCUCAAUUUUGAAUUGAGGAGUUGGGGUUCACAUAGUGCCUGAAGGUGUACGAGUGUGUUGGUGUUGGUUCAACCCGAAUAACAUUGUUGCUGGGAAACUUGUACAAUUGCUUUUUUGGAUCUUGGUCAACACGAUGCACAGUUGAAAUUUCAUACAAAUUUCUGAUCUCAAAUGAGGUAAGGAGACCCCCUGAAUUUAAGCAUAUUAUUAAGGGAAGGAAAAGAAACUAACUAGGAUUCCCUGAGUAACUGCGAGUGAAACGGGAAGAGCUCAACCUGAAAAUCGCUGGAGGUGUCCUGUAGCGAAUUGUGGGUUCUGGAAGUAUUCUCAGCGUGUGGCCCCGCUUUAAGUCUGCUGGAAUGCAGCUGUCAUAGAGGGUGAGAACCCCGUCUUGGGGUGGGAGUCCGCAGCGUACGAGGUGCUUUCGCAGAGUCGGGUUGCUUGGGAGUGCAGCCUUAAACGGGAGGUGAAUUCCUUCCAAAGCUAAAUACCUGUGAUAGACCGAUAGCGCACAAGUACCGUAAGGGAAAGGUGAAAAGGACUUUGAAAAGAGAGUCAAAAGUACUUGAAAUUGCUUAUAGUCAACGGAUAGGAACUAUUGGAUCGAUUUCGUCGUAUUACUAGCGAUUACUGUUUGUGGCGUUUGAGGUGUCUGUUUCUAUAUGGAGCGGUGCUCUUGGGUGUUUGCGGGUAGUGACCGUUGGGCUUAGCGGCGAUAGAUGUCAGGAUGAGUUUUUGGCGUGGGAUACGAGUUGCGUGGAGGUAGGUGGUGAUCCUUUUGGUGAUCCCUGAGUACACGUGGCGGAUACCAUGCUGGGGACUGAGGAUAGAUUCUGACGAAAUGGUUCUUAUUCACCCGUCUUGAAACACGGACCAAGGAGUGUAAGGUGUAUGCGAGUGUUAGGGUGGAAAACCCGGACGCGUAAUGAAAGUAAAGGUUCCUUUUGGAGCUGAGGUGUUAAUGCAGUCUCUAUAUGGGGCAGCAGGCCGCACCGCCCGGCCUUUCCCUAGUGUUAGUGCGAGGACGAGCAUAUACAUUACGACCGAAAGAUGGUGAACUAUACCUGAGCAGGGUGAAGCCAGGGGAAACUCUGGUGGAGGCUCGUAGCGAUACUGACGUGCAAAUCGUUCGUCAGACUUGGUAUAGGGGCGAAAGACUAAUCGAACCAUCUAGUAGCUGGUUCCCCC